ACGCUCGACACCUACGGUAGGCAGCAGUGGGGAAUAUUGCACAAUGGGGGAAACCCUGAUGCAGCGACGCCGCGUGAGCGAAGAAGUAUUUCGGUAUGUAAAGCUCUAUCAGCAGGGAAGAAACUGACGGUACCUGACUAAGAAGCACCGGCUAAAUACGUGUCAGCAGCGCGGUAAUCUGAGCGGGCUGGCAAGGC
rnacentral:rRNA from 1 species